UCAGCGGGCGGGGCGGAAGGGAGGAGCCAGGGUCUUCCUCCUCAUUUCUCUCUGCUUUAGUGGCAACUUGGGAAGUGGUUGGGUCACCGCCAGGGUUCCAGCUCCCAUGGGCAGCCCCCUGCCUGACUGUGGUUCCGGUGUCCCACACCUAGUCUGGUUCCCAGGCUUUGGGUAUCGGCACUUCCUCCCCGGUCUCUGGAGUCCCAGGUUGUCACAGCUGCCUGCCGCUGCUUGUCGGUGGGUGGCUCACCAUCCCCGGUCAGGCCUUUCAGCUCCUCCAACACCUUCCGAACUAGCUCCCUAUAUCACAUGCCCUCUGUUGAAAUACCUGACUUGAGUUCUGGUUUCCUAGCUGGAUCUUGACUAAGAGAAGCCCCUACUAUGUGCCAGGCUGGGAUCCCUGCCUUCAAGGAGCUUACAAUCUAGUGCGGAAAGGGACGUUUGUCAAAUCAUCCCAUGAAUAUGCAUAAAAGUUCAGACAGCACCCAGUGCUGUGAAGGCCACUGUCGGUGAGGGAAGACCCUAGAGAGGAGGCUUGAUCUCACUUGGGGCCUGGCAGGCACCUCGAGGAAGGGAUGUAUCUAAGAGACAGGAUCUCAUGUUAUUUAGGCUUGUCUGGGACUCCUGGCCUCAAGCAAUCCUCCUGCCUCGGCCUACCGAAGUGCUGGGAUUACAGGCAUGAGCCACUGCACCCGGCCACCAGCAUUUGUUAAAGUCUCACCACGGAUCAGGCUCUCAUCUAAAAAACUUGAAGUUGUCAUUCUGUGUCCUUACAGUAACCCCUCAAGCUGAAGACAAAAUAUUUGCCAGUCUUGUUCAUGAAGGUAUUCCAAUGCCUAGAACAUUGCUUUUGCACAUAGUAGGUGCUCAACAAACGGGCCUUGCACACAGUAGUUAAUAUCACAGGUUAAAGACGAAGAAUAAGGGGGAUCCCUGCCUUGAUGGACAAGGAGAAAAGCAGGGCCCUGAUGAGGGAGCCCCGCACUGCCAGGAUGGAGCAGGAGUGUCAAAGGAAGCCUUCCAACAGCGGUGGCACAGGCGCCAAGGCAACAAGGAAGGGUGGGAGCUCUGCAAGGCACCGGGCACUCCAGGCAGAAGGACCUGUGUGGGGAAAAGCAAGGCAGCUGGAAAAAGCAAGCGGAGCUGCGAAGGCGCCAAGAACACAGUGAGAAGGUAGCCAGGAAGAGAGCCCUC
rnacentral:lncRNA from 1 species